rnacentral:rRNA from 1 species
GAGUUUGAUCCUGGCUCAGGACGAACGCUGGCGGCGCGCCUAACACAUGCAAGUCGAACGGAGCUUAGAGAGCUUGCUUUUUAAGCUUAGUGGCGAACGGGUGAGUAACGCGUGAGGAACCUGCCUCAAAGAGGGGGACAACAGUUGGAAACGACUGCUAAUACCGCAUAAGCCCACGACCCGGCAUCGGGAAGAGGGAAAAGGAGCAAUCCGCUUUGAGAUGGCCUCGCGUCCGAUUAGCUAGUUGGUGAGGUAACGGCCCACCAAGGCGACGAUCCAUAGCCGACCUGAGAGGGUGACCGGCCACAUUGGGACUGAGACACGGCCCAAACUCCUACGGGAGGCAGCAGUGGGGAAUAUUGCACAAUGGGCGAAAGCCUGAUGCAGCGACGCCGCGUGAGCGAAGAAGUAUUUCGGUAUGUAAAGCUCUAUCAGCAGGGAAGAUAAUGACGGUACCUGACUAAGAAGCACCGGCUAAAUACGUGCCAGCAGCCGCGGUAAUUC